UACGAAGGGGGCUAGCGUUGUUCGGAUUUACUGGGCGUAAAGCGCACGUAGGCGGAUCGUUAAGUCGGGGGUGAAAUCCUGGAGCUCAACUCCAGAACUGCCUUCGAUGCUGGCGAUCUUGAGUUCGGGAGAGGUGAGUGGAACUGCGAGUGUAGAGGUGAAAUUCGUAGAUAUUCGCAAGAACACCAGUGGCGAAGGCGGCUCACUGGCCCGAUACUGACGCUGAGGCACGAAAGCGUGGGGAGCAAACAGG
rnacentral:rRNA from 1 species